rnacentral:rRNA from 1 species
CCUAACACAUGCAAGUCGGACGAGGGCUCCCGUUCGGGAUGUCCCUAGUGGCGCACGGGUGAGUAACGCGUGGGAAUCUGUCCAGGUGUGGGAAUAACGUAACGGGAAACUGUAGCUAAUACCGCAUACGCCUACGGGGAAAGGCUUCGGCCGCAUUUGGAUGAGCCCGCGUCAGAUUAGCUAGUUGUGGGGUAAUGGCCUACCAAGGCUACGAUCUGUAACUGGUCUGAGAGGACGAUCAGUCACACUGGAACUGAGACACGGUCCAGACUCC